rnacentral:rRNA from 1 species
AAUGAACGUUGGCGGCGUGGAUUAGGCAUGCAAGUCGAGCGAGAAACCAAUUAGCUUGCUAUGAGGUGGACAGCGGCGAAAGGGAGAGUAACGCGUGGUUACGUGCCCUCGGGACCGGGAUAGUGUCGGGAAACUGGCAGUAAUACCGGAUGACAUCUUCGGAUCAAAUGGUGAGAUUCCGCCCGAGGAUCGGACCGCGUACUAUUAGCUUGUUGGCGGGGUAAUGGCCCACCAAGGCUGCGAUGGUUACCGGGUGUGAGAGCAUGGCCCGGCUCACUGGGACUGAGACACUGCCCAGACAUCUACGGAUGGCUGCAGUCGAGAAUCUUCGGCAAUGGACGAAAGUCUGACCGAGCGACGCCGCGUGCGGGAUGAAGGCCCUCGGGUUGUAAACCGCUGUCAGUUAGGAGGAAAUGCAUGGGGGUUCUCCCCUGUGUUUGACCGAUUUUCAGAGGAAGGACGGGCUAAGUUCGUG